AUGCAGCAGAAGAUGGUGCAUCGUCCAGAUAGGGGUGGAUACGUUGAUGGCUAAUGAAGAGUUUAUCAUUUUUGCCGUGAUGCCUCACUUCCUCUGAAAACACAACAGGGAGCUGUAUAAAAGGCCCACCACCCCAGACCUCUCCAUUCAAACACUGGGAUCCUCAACCAUACAACUCUCCAUUCACCACUGAACAAGCCUACCUUCCACUCACAAAGAUGGGUUCUGGCUGUUGUAGCUAUGCAGACCGUGGACCAAAUGUCAUGUGUAUCCCCUGCGGUGGCGGCGGUGGCGGCAACUCGUGCUGUUCUCCUUGCUACUCUUCCCCCAUGAGCUAUGGUGCUUGCCAGUGCUAUAGCUGUGGCGGCUGUGGCGGCUACAGUGGUGGCGGCUGCUGCAGUGGCGGCUGCAAUGGUGGCGGCUGCAAUGGCGGCUGCUCUAUCUACAUGGUCUCUAAUGGAAGAAGGUCCUCCUGCUGUGGCAGUUGCUAACACUUUGGACAUUCAACUCAGCCCACAGUAACAACAUGACCUGUGCAAUGUCUGGAAUAACCUCAGCACCAUCAACGUCCCUUUGAAGACCUGUUGGUUGAUCUCCUGUUCUCCUCUUUGCUAUGUCAUAAACCCUUAAGCUUUGCACCUGCCACUUAUAAUAAGGCACCAAACCUCUUCUUCCCUUUAAUCAUUUUUCCCAUAGAUGUCAUAAUAAGCAAAGGAGGCAUGAUGAUUGUGUCAUCAUGUGCAUAAUUAGAUAGGUAGUCUUCCCUCCCCACCUCACUUUCGUCCUGGACCACAGAAUGGUCUUUAAACUAUUUAUAAAAAAUAAAUAUAUAUUACAAUAUA